GAUGAACGCUAGCGGCAGGCCUAAUACAUGCAAGUCGAACGAGAUUAAGAGGCUUGCUUCUUAUGAAAGUGGCGCACGGGUGCGUAACGCGUAUGCAACCUACCUUAAUCAGGGGGAUAGCCCGAAGAAAUUCGGAUUAAGACCGCAUAAAAACACAGGAUAGCAUUAUCCAAUGUUCAAAUAUUUAUAGGAUUAAGAUGGGCAUGCGUGUCAUUAGCUAGUUGGCGGGGUAACGGCCCACCAAGGCGACGAUGACUAGGGGAUCUGAGAGGAUGACCCCCCACACUGGUACUGAGACACGGACCAGACGCCUACGGGAGGCAGCAGUAAGGAAUAUUGGUCAAUGGAGGGAACUCUGAACCAGCCAUGCCGCGUGCAGGAAGACAGCCCUCUGGGUCGUAAACUGCUUUUAUUCGGGAAUAAACCUUUCUACGUGUAGGAAGCUGAAUGUACCGAAGGAAUAAGGAUCGGCUAACUCCGUG
rnacentral:rRNA from 1 species